rnacentral:rRNA from 1 species
UACGUAGGGGGCAAGCGUUGUCCGGAAUCAUUGGGCGUAAAGCGCGUGUAGGCGGCUGGCUAAGUCCGCUCUGAAAGCCCGGGGCUCAACCCCGGGAGGCGGGUGGAUACUGGUCAGCUCGAGUCCGGAAGAGGAGUGUGGAAUUCCUGGUGUAGCGGUGAAAUGCGUAGAUAUCGGGAGGAACACCUGUGGCGAAAGCGGCGCACUGGACCACAACUGACGCUGAGGCGCGAAAGCUAGGGGAGCAAACAGG